rnacentral:snRNA from 1 species
GCCCUUCGGGGCAUUUGGUCACAUUGUAACGAUACAGAGAAGAUUGUAAGUUUGGCGCGCGUCGUGCGUUCGAGACACGGGUCUGACAGAUUUAGAGCAUGGCCCCUGCACAAGGAUGACACUGCUACAAAGAAAAGCAACCAAUUUUU